AAGAGCAGCCUGAGACAGAGGACGACUAGGCACCGCCAGGGCAGGACUAAGCACCCGCUGACCCCCAUCCUGGGCGCAGGGAGUUUCCAGCAGGUCAAAGCAGAAUGUAAUUUUAAAAUCCUAGAAACACGUCUUCUUACAGGCAGAGAGAGACACCUGACGGUGCGAACCGUGGACACAAAGGGAGAUGCUAAAACAGCCAAUUUCCCCCCCUUUCCUUUCCUCUCCUUUCCUUCCCUUUCCUGUUUCUUUUCUCAAAAGUAGCCAACAGGCGGGGAAGCAGUGCCGGCGACAGGCUUUCCCCACUGGUUCGAGCCCUCAGAAAUCCAGCUGGAUGGGUGGAUGUUUCCGGAACGCAGGUGCGGGGCUCCUAGACAGCAUCCAGAGGGACUCCCCCCCGGGGAGGGGGAGCGGGGGGAAGCAGGGGAAGGAAGGCAGCAGAGAAGGGCAAAGGACUCCGAGCGGCUUCACAACCCCCCCGAGCUCCCGACGAAGAGUUGCCGCAUCUCGCUUGCCAGGAGGUCUCCGGCGCGCCGCAGCGCAAUCGCCCCCCUGCCAGAGUUCCCCCAAACUCUCAGCAGCUCCUGCAGUGGCCCGGAAGGGGGGGCAGAGGACGCGGAGCAGCAGCCAGAGGGCGGGGAAGGGGGGGGGGAGAGAAUGAGAGAGGAGGAGGCGAAAACUCCCCAAGUCCGAUCAGGCGGCAGGCAGGCACCCUGGAAGACAGAGCCGGAGGCCUCAGAGGACGCGACUGGAGGCGGGCAAGUUCCAGGCGAUGGGGAACUGGGGACGAGGGGGGCGGGAGAGGAGCAAGGCAGGUCUGGUCCCAGCCCGCUGCCCGGGUCUGACCCGGCCGGCGGGGAUGCCCUGGAGCUGUUCAACCGGGCGAAACUGAUCUGGUGGGCGAGACGGCUCUCUCGCAGCAGCGCUCAGCGCGGAAGGGCGCGCACGGGAGGCCCCGCUGGGGCGGCGGCGGCGGCGGCGGUUUCUGCUUCUUCUACGACUACUUUCAGCAUCCCAGCUCAGCUCUCCUUGCCUGCUCCGAGCAUCGCCUCUUCCUCCUCCUCCUCCUCCUCNUCCUCCUCCUCCACCUCCUCCCCC
rnacentral:lncRNA from 1 species